AGUCGAACGAACUUCCGUUAAUUGAUUAUGACGUGCUUGCACUGAAUGAGAUUUUAACACGAAGUGAGUGGCGGACGGGUGAGUAACACGUGGGUAACCUGCCCAGAAGCAGGGGAUAACACCUGGAAACAGAUGCUAAUACCGUAUAACAGAGAAAACCGCCUGGUUUUCUUUUAAAAGAUGGCUCUGCUAUCACUUCUGGAUGGACCCGCGGCGCAUUAGCUAGUUGGUGAGGUAACGGCUCACCAAGGCGAUGAUGCGUAGCCGACCUGAGAGGGUAAUCGGCCACAUUGGGACUGAGACACGGCCCAGACUCCUACGGGAGGCAGCAGUAGGGAAUCUUCCACAAUGGACGCAAGUCUGAUGGAGCAACGCCGCGUGAGUGAAGAAGGGUUUCGGCUCGUAAAGCUCUGUUGUUAAAGAAGAACGUGGGUGAGAGUAACUGUUCACCCAGUGACGGUAUUUAACCAGAAAGCCACGGCUAACUACGUGCCAGCAGCCGCGGUAAUACGUAGGUGGCAAGCGUUAUCCGGAUUUAUUGGGCGUAAAGCGAGCGCAGGCGGUCUUUUAAGUCUAAUGUGAAAGCCUUCGGCUCAACCGAAGAAGUGCAUUGGAAACUGGGAGACUUGAGUGCAGAAGAGGACAGUGGAACUCCAUGUGUAGCGGUGAAAUGCGUAGAUAUAUGGAAGAACACCAGUGGCGAAGGCGGCUGUCUGGUCUGUAACUGACGCUGAGGCUCGAAAGCAUGGGUAGCGAACAGGAUUAGAUACCCUGGUAGUCCAUGCCGUAAACGAUGAUUACUAAGUGUUGGAGGGUUUCCGCCCUUCAGUGCUGCAGCUAACGCAUUAAGUAAUCCGCCUGGGGAGUACGACCGCAAGGUUGAAACUCAAAAGAAUUGACGGGGGCCCGCACAAGCGGUGGAGCAUGUGGUUUAAUUCGAAGCUACGCGAAGAACCUUACCAGGUCUUGACAUCUUCUGCCAACCUAAGAGAUUAGGCGUUCCCUUCGGGGACAGAAUGACAGGUGGUGCAUGGUUGUCGUCAGCUCGUGUCGUGAGAUGUUGGGUUAAGUCCCGCAACGAGCGCAACCCUUAUUACUAGUUGCCAGCAUUCAGUUGGGCACUCUAGUGAGACUGCCGGUGACAAACCGGAGGAAGGUGGGGACGACGUCAAAUCAUCAUGCCCCUUAUGACCUGGGCUACACACGUGCUACAAUGGAUGGUACAACGAGUUGCGAAACCGCGAGGUUUAGCUAAUCUCUUAAAACCAUUCUCAGUUCGGACUGUAGGCUGCAACUCGCCUACACGAAGUCGGAAUCGCUAGUAAUCGCGGAUCAGCAUGCCGCGGUGAAUACGUUCCCGGGCCUUGUACACACCGCCCGUCACACCAUGAGAGUUUGUAACACCCAAAGCCGG
rnacentral:rRNA from 1 species